rnacentral:rRNA from 1 species
AGCAGCCGCGGUAAUUCCAGCUCCAAUAGCGUAUAUUAAAGUUGUUGCAGUUAAAAAGCUCGUAGUUGAAUUUCGGGGUUAGUAGAUUGGUCAUGCCUCUGGUAUGCACUGGUCUUACUGAUUCCUCCUUCCUGAUGAACCGUAAUGCCAUUAAUUUGGUGUUGCGGGGAAACUGGACUGUUACUUUGAAAAAGUUAGAGUGUUUAAAGCAGGCUAACGCUUGAAUACAUUAGCAUGGAAUAAUAAAAUAGGACGUUCGAUCUUAUUUUGUUGGUUUCUAGGAUUGACGUAAUGAUUAAUAGGGAUAGUUGGGGGCAUUAGUAUUCAAUUGUCAGAGGUGAAAUUCUUGGAUUUAUUGAAGACUAACUACUGCGAAAGCAUUUGCCAAGGAUGUUUUCAUUAAUCAAGAACGAAAGUUAGGGGAUCGAAGACGAUCAGGUACCGUCGUAGUCUUAACCAUAAACUAUGCCGACUAGGGAUCGGAUGAUGUUAAUUUUUUAAUGACUCAUUCGGCGCCUUA